CCCUCCUCUGCUCCACAGCGUGUGGAUGGUCUGACGAAGUGAGACUAUAGAGUGGUUGACCCUGAUUACUGAAUGUCUGCACCUGCUGAUUAGCUGGUGUUUGUUAAUGUUUCACUUCAAUCUUUUGCCUGUAACUUCCUGAAGAAGACUGGACGCCGAAACGCGUUGAAGUGAUGUUUUUAAGGUUAUUCUAGAGAGAAUGGACCAGAUGGAUUAAAGUCCUUCUCUCUCCAGGUUGGGGGAGGAUCCUCUUUGUGCCCGUGGGUUUAGCAGCUCUCAUAAUAAUUGUUGUGGCGGUCAACAUGUGGACGAGAGCUAAAGAGAAGAAAACACAGACGGAGGAAAUCGCUGUGCGUUAUGAUGUAGAUGAUGAUACAGUGAACUAUGAAAACAUCAGAUCUCCUGAUGGAGUUUGACCAACACUUCUGCCUCCAUCAGACUCCACUGAUCAACUCGUCACCUUUUACUGGACUAGUUCAAGACUGGAAAUAACUAAAAGAAUCAUUAAGGCUUAUUUCAUUUUAGUCUGAUGUAUUUUCCUGCAUCAAUUG